rnacentral:rRNA from 2 species
AGGGUUUCGGCCUUAGUGGCGGACGGGUGAGUAACGCGUAGGUAUCUAUCCAUGGGGUGGGGGAUAACACUGGGAAACUGGUGCUAAUACCGCAUGACACCUGAGGGUCAAAGGCGUAAGUCGCCUGUGGAGGAGCCUGCGUUUGAUUAGCUAGUUGGUGGGGUAAAGGCCUACCAAGGCGAUGAUCAAUAGCUGGUUUGAGAGGAUGAUCAGCCACACUGGGACUGAGACACGGCCCAGACUCCUACGGGAGGCAGCAGUGGGGAAUAUUGGACAAUGGGGGCAACCCUGAUCCAGCAAUGCCGCGUGUGUGAAGAAGGUCUUCGGAUUGUAAAGCACUUUCGACGGGGACGAUGAUGACGGUACCCGUAGAAGAAGCCCCGGCUAACUUCGUGCCAGCAGCCGCGGUAAUACGAAGGGGGCUAGCGUUGCUCGGAAUGACUGGGCGUAAAGGGCGUGUAGGCGGUUUGUACAGUCAGAUGUGAAAUCCCCGGGCUUAACCUGGGAGCUGCAUUUGAUACGUGCAGACUAGAGUGUGAGAGAGGGUUGUGGAAUUCCCAGUGUAGAGGUGAAAUUCGUAGAUAUUGGGAAGAACACCGGUGGCGAAGGCGGCAACCUGGCUCAUUACUGACGCUGAGGCGCGAAAGCGUGGGGAGCAAACAGGAUUAGAUACCCU